rnacentral:lncRNA from 1 species
CUUUAAGAAGGAAGGAUGUUUCUUCAUCGUCUCUGGGGAUGAAUUCACUCUGCAUCCAUAGAAAUGGGAAAUCUAUGUGCGGUCUGGUUCUGGAAGGCUGGUCUGAUGGUAUACGAUGGGUAAGAUGAGCUCCAAAGAAUUGUCCAUUCCAGGUCCUUAUGGUUUUGUGAACUCUCAGAGAAGCACAUCAGUCAACCUUGGCAUGUGAGGACUCUGCGGUGAAAGGGGAAGAAAAGAACAAGGAUUGGAGCCAAAAGGAAAAGGAAGAACGUGGGAUGUUAGGAGAGAGAGUGGAGGCCUGGAGAGGAAACUUCCAUACUUAGACAUUUUAGAUGUCUUCUCUGUUCCAGGAAGAAAAAUGGGCUGUGUUGAUCACUCGACCGAGGACCAUUUCUAAAAGCAUGCUGAAGGUAAUUUUCAUUACAUUAGUCAGAAUAAGAGAAGCUGUGCUAUGAUAACAAAUUAAUUUUYAAGU